GGGGGUGUAGUAUUAACCGGGGAAAUAGCCCACUAACCGGGAAGUUGCGGGUUCGAGACCCGUCACCUCCA
rnacentral:tRNA from 1 species